CCGAGUUGGCCCAGGGAAAUUGAGUUGGUCAUUUGGACCGCAUCGUUCUCGGGGUAACCCUGCCCGAGCCACGUCCUUUCCACGGGGAGAAAACCCACGAGCCCAGAGCUCGGGCAGAAAACCCACGGCUCGAGCGAGACGAGCGAACGGCAGAGCCGUCGACCAAGACCCAGCGCCCCCGGCCGCCUCCGAGCUCCUCCGCCGGCGACAGAAGCGACGCCCCUGACCCCCUCUCUCCGGUGCUGACGAACCAAGCUCCGCCCCUCCAGCGACUGCGACGGACCGCGGCCGUCACUGUUCUCCUUCCCCAGAUCUCCCCUCCGCUUCCAAGGUCCGAUCCCCUCCGGCGACGGCGACGACGCCGGUUUCGCGGACGUAUUCAUCUCGUCUGAUCAAGGGUGUGGCCAGUACUCUGUUAUUCUCCUACAUAUAGCUGUAUAUGCAUCUAAAAGGGCAAGUACUUGGAUGACCUUGACAAUAUCAUACUGAUUGUAAUAACUUGCAUAAGACUCUGUAUUUGAAGAUGUCCCGGUCCUGCAUUAUUUGACAGAAUUACCAUUAAAGAAAAUUUAGGACAGAAAUAUAUUUCCAGGACAGUCCAGAGAAAAAGUCUGGUAUUUAUGGGGUAGCACUCAAACUACCGCUACGCACAAGGCUGGUAUUUCAAUUCGGUUUGCCAUACUUCUAGUUUUAUUUUAGGGUUCUUUAUAAAUAUAUGUAGGUAUUAUGAUCCAUUGCAAAUAUAAGGAGUGGAUAAGCUGAAACUAGAAUAAGCAUCUUUUUUGCUCUGAUGGAUCAGUUUCUCAUUGUUAAUAUUUAUAUAUUUUCUUCUGAGCACCUGUUUCUUCAUCAUAUAUAUGUGGGAAAAAGGAAAACUUCUAUGAUAGACAGUAGUAGUUUCAGACUGUCUACGAUCACAGUAAUUCAGAUUCUGAAGCUUGUAUUGUCCUUAAUGAGCUAGUAAUAAAAAGAUAACAACCUUCCGAGAGGUGUUGCCAAACCUGGGAUGUAGAUAAUCAAACAAAUGCAGGGCUGGAGACAAUUAUUUGCUGGUUUGAGCCUCAAUUACAUCCUGAUGACAGUCUUGCACAUUCAGUUUUACAUUCUGAACAUAAGCAACAUUACUAAAUCGCAUGCUCUGUUCAUGUUAAGUUGUUGAUUGCAAACGUCACAAGGCAGGAGAACACACAUUUUUUUUAUUCACAUAGUGUUCAUCAAUAUCUUUUAUACAUCAGUAAACUCAGCAUUCUACAGGAGAAUAAAGUUCAGAAGGAAAAACCAUCAAGAAAACAUCAACUAUACCCGAUUUCUUUUUUGAGUUUCUGAUUGUGUCGUCUUGCUGGGUGAAACAUGCCAACCAAGGAUAUGCGGCAGUCCAAUUCCCCUAUGCCAGCAAGCAUACAUGAUUCGGUUUACUAUACAAAAUAUGGAAUGCCUGUCCAGAUUAAAAAUAACAUUGCUGGAUAAAGAUCGGAGUUGGUUCUCGGUUGAAACUAAUUUGAAGCUUUGCAUUUUUCUUAUAGCUGGCUGAUAUACUUUUUAUUUUUAUAAAGUAUAUAUCUUUUACAUUCUGCAAUGAAGAAAAACUAUCAUGCCUAUAGUGCGAAGAUGUCUGUCCAAAGAUGCUUUAUUUGCUAAGCUACAUGAGUUUAUUCACAGUUCUUAUCUGAAAAAGAUAAGCGAACUGGCAGGUGGAUCAGCAGCAUUUGUCUAUGCUCGAAUAACCCUCUUGAGUUGGUAUGUGUGGCUUUCUUUCUAUUCAGUAGAGAAGGGGUCAGAUGUCAGAUUUGUCUAACCACUAGGACAGAAAAGUUCAUGCUUAUACUGAUGCUUGAAAAUUCAAUACUUAUUUGUGAUGCAGGUUCCCUUACCACAGGUUGACAGAAAUGUUCAAAAAGUUGACGGUGGAAGUAGUUCAGUAUGGAUAUAGUUCACAUAGUUGUGAUAUUUUUAGUGGAACAAAGUAUUGUUUCUUGCUGAACCUGUAACCAUAAUUAGCAUUUUCUCUUUUGAGACAUAGUUAGUAAACUAUAUUUAUCAUUGGUGUUGCACUAUUGGUCCGACUUUGGCAUGUCAGGUUAUAUGCAUGUGUGGAUGCAAGUUGAAUAUUUGUUCUCUUGCGAACUGUGUAUUUAAUAUAUUUUUUCGUUCAAAUUUC